rnacentral:misc_RNA from 1 species
CUCUGUCAAGGAUAGCAACGGAAAGCCCGCAAAGGAGGAGGUCCUUUUAUUAAACAAACCCUAAAACAGCGACUACAGGAAGCUCGUUUUAGGGUUCGUUUUAAGGAAUGAUACCUGCGGACUUGCAGUGGAUAGCCUGCCCGGAC